UCUUUUGAAUUAUAGGACUGAUGAUAUUAUCAACUACAGAAAAAGAUACUGUGCUGUCAAAAUGAUGCUUUUUCUAGAGAGAAAGAAGCUCUGAACUACACACGUUGGGAAAGCAGACUCAUUAAGACUUGGAUUCCUUACAUUCUCCAUCCAUUUGGGUUCUCAUGAAUAAGGGAGAAAAUUUUCACCAGCUUUACUCACCUUCUGCCUUUCUGGUUGUGAAUGAAAAUUCAGAGGAAGAUAGAUGCCAGCUAAAGUAUUGACAAUGCAAUCACAGGUGAGUAGGGAAUUCUUCUUUAACUGAAUUGAACCCCUUUGCCAGCAG
rnacentral:lncRNA from 1 species